UAGCAUAUCAAUAAGCGGAGGAAGAGAAACCAACAUGGAUUCCCCUAGUAGCGGCGAGCGAAGCGGGAUGAGCCCAGAUUUGAAAGCUCCCGGUGUGGCCGGGCGCAUUGUAAGCUGGAGACGUGCCUCGAGCGGCGCGGCUGGACCCAAGUCUGCUGGAAAGCAGCAUCAGAGAGGGUGAGAAUCCCGUGCUUGGUCUGGCUGGCUGGCGCCGUGCUGUGGGGUGCGCUCGACGAGUCGCGUUGUUUGGGAAUGCAGCGCAAAAUGGGUGGUAAACGCCAUCGAAGGCUAAAUAUGGGGGAGAGACCGAUAGCGAACAAGUACCGUGAGGGAAAGAUGAAAAGCACUUUGGAAAGAGAGUUAAACAGUACGUGAAAUUGCCAAGAGGGAAGCGCUGGCAGUCAGUGCCGCAGCUGGUCUCGUUGCGAUGGGGCCAGUGGGGGCCCGCGUCGGUUGUCGAUGGCGGCAGAGAAGGCAGUGUGGGAAGGUGGCUUGGGCGCGCAUGCGGCCAGGUGGUUAUAGCCCCGCUGUGGAUCUGCCGCUGGCGACCGAGGAACGCCUCUCUGUGAGGAGGACGCGGGCUUAAUGGCUUUCAGCGGCCCGUCUUGAAACACGGACCAAGGAGUCUAACAUGUAUGCGAGUAUGUGGGUGGCAAACCCGGCAUGCGGAAUGAAAGUAAUGUGGGUACGAGCCUCGUGUUGGAGGUGCAGUACCGGCCGGCCUUGCGUGUGCGCACAAGAGAGGUCUGAGCAGGAGCAUGCCUGUUGGGACCCGAAAGAUGGUGAACUUUGCCUGGCGAGGACGAAGCCAGGGGAAACGCUGGUGGAGGUCCGUCGCGGUUCUGACGUGCAAAUCGAUCGUUUCAGCUGGGCAAAGGGGCGAAAGACUAAUCGAACCAUCUAGUAGCUGGUUCCUGCGA
rnacentral:rRNA from 1 species